UGCAGGCUUCUAUGUAUGUGACCAGCCGGGACUGCRUGAAGGAACACCAGUUCCUAGGGGAAGAAAGACGUGGGAAAAGAGCUUGAAUUUCCUUUUGGUGCAAGCUCCUGCUGCCAAGGAGAGAAAGAGGAACAGAGAGAAGCUGCUCAUGUGAGGAGAGCAGAAAAGCCUUUUSUGUAAUCUGGAUUUGGCUGGGCCAUCUUAUAUCACAGCAAAUAAAGUGAAACCUACAGAAGCAGGAGAAAAGAUUGGAUGGCUGCUCUGCAGUACCUGACUCUCUGCUCAGAUGAAUAUGGGGUAAUCUUCACACAGACAGUGUGUGAGUGAGUGUGAGUAAUGCUCCCCAGCUCAGCAAGGGACUGACAUACUUUAGUUCUCUUUGCUACAUGUUCUCUUGAUUGGCACUGCAGUGCAUCAUUUUAGAUGUUUCCUAGG